rnacentral:misc_RNA from 1 species
GGUCGCUCUACAUCUUUAGAAGAGAAUCUUCUGAAAAUUAUGGAAAAAAAUCUAGUAAAUAGACUUUUAACUGUGCUGACUACUACAUAUACAGAUUACAACUAAAUACUAGUAUAAUUGCUUAUUUAAUCGAACUAGAGAGUUGAAUCAGGAGCUCAAAGGCAACGUCCCUGCUGAAAGGAGGAUGACAUAGCCAGAAAGGGGCGCUCCAAGAAGUUACUCUGCAGAGAUGUCAUGCCAAAACUAGUUGAUUGUGGAGCUCCAAUAGUUGACUGUGGAAUCGUGCUGAAUGAUAAUGACAAUGAGGAGUCCACCGGAGUAGAUAUCUGAUGGCGAUCAGUAGGAAACAAUGACCAGAAAACUGAGUGUUGCGAGUGAUCUUGGAAACCAGAGCAGAACAUAUCCGUUCCUGCACCUUGACUUUUACUUGCCAUCUUUGCUGGAAAUAAAUCUAGACAAGAGGGAGUUGGGUUCACAGCCAAAGUCAAACCAAGAUAGCAGUCAUCUUUUUCUGUCCCAAAAUCCCACAGGUUCAACUCAAGAUUAGGCUCAGGUCCAACACUACUUAAAUUCAUCUGCAGUGGAUCCUCUAGAGGACGAGGAAUUGACAUAUCAACAUGAAAAAAUGGGUGCUGUAAGCAUUGGUCAGCAGUUGGUCUUCUCAAUGGGUCCCACGAGCAGAGUUGCUUGAUCAAGUCGAUAGCUUCCAAGCUAGCAUUUGGAAUGAAAUCAGACAGAUUGGCUGGUGUAAUAUCAAAACAAUUAAUGUCAAACAACCGUGAAGCACUUCUCAGUUCUGGGAAGCUAGUCCAAUCUGGCGGUCCAAGAACACAGCAUAUCUUAUACAACUGAUCAAUUUCACUUUCACCAGGGAAUAUUGGGCAAAGAGUGAAAAGCUCAGCAAGUACCGCACCAACUGCCCACAUAUCGAUAGAAGGUGUGUAUGAUGAAGAUUGCAACAAAACUUCUGGUGCUCGGUACCAACGAGUUGAAACAUAGUCAGUGAAAGGAGGUGAUGAAGACACUUCACGAGCCAACCCAAAGUCAGCAAUUUUAAUUACGUCAUUCGUCACCAGUAAAUUCUCAGGUUUUAAGUCCCGAUGAAAGUAACCAUUUUUAUGCAUAUGGG